rnacentral:rRNA from 1 species
UACGUAGGGGCUAGCGUUAUCCGGAUUUACUGGGCGUAAAGGGUGCGUAGGUGGUUUCUUAAGUCAGAGGUGAAAGGCUACGGCUCAACCGUAGUAAGCCUUUGAAGCUGGGAAACUUGAGUGCAGGAGAGGAGAGUGGAAUUCCUAGUGUAGCGGUGAAAUGCGUAGAUAUUAGGAGGAACACCAGUUGCGAAGGCGGCUCUCUGGACUGUAACUGACACUGAGGCACGAAAGCGUGGGGAGCAAACAGGAUUAGAUACCCUGGUAGUCCCUGA